ensembl:snRNA U6 U6 spliceosomal RNA
AAAUUAAAAAAAAAUCUGGUGCUUGCAAUUAGAAUGAUACAGAGAUGAUUAGCAUGGUCCCCUCCACAAGGAUGACACGCAAAUUGGUGAAGCAUUCCGUAUUAAA